AUCAAAAAGCCCCACCCACAACAGCAAAACACGAUUUAAAGAGUGGCUCAGGAAACAUCCCAACUUUUUCAUGAUUGCUCACAUAAUAUUCCUGUGCAGAGCCUGCCUGCAUUUGAAGUGUACAUCUCCUGUCCAGCCUCCUUCUUUGAGCUCCUUUAGCUGCUGGUAUCAUGCUGAUUUAGUUGGCAUUUCCCACUUGGUCACAGAGGACAGAGAUUAGAUCAGUAUCAGAACAUGGAAACAGAAGUGCUGGAAGAUCACAUGAGGAACCUCAGCACUUUCUGGCAAAUCCUCUCAAAUGUCACAAAGGAGCUGAAG
rnacentral:lncRNA from 1 species